GAUGAACGCUGGCGGCGUGCUUAACACAUGCAAGUCGAACGGUGAAGCCCAGCUUGCUGGGUGGAUCAGUGGCGAACGGGUGAGUAACACGUGAGCAAUCUGCCCCUGACUCUGGGAUAAGCGCUGGAAACGGCGUCUAAUACUGGAUAUGAACCGUGGAGGCAUCUUCAACGGUUGGAAAGAUUUUUUGGUCAGGGAUGAGCUCGCGGCCUAUCAGCUUGUUGGUGAGGUAAUGGCUCACCAAGGCGUCGACGGGUAGCCGGCCUGAGAGGGUGACCGGCCACACUGGGACUGGAGACACGGCCCAG
rnacentral:rRNA from 1 species